GCAUAUUAGUAAGCGGAGGAAAAGAAACUAACUAGGAUUUCCUUAGUAGCGGCGAGCGAACAGGAAAUAGCCCAGCACUGAAUCCCGCGGUUGUAACGAUCGCGGGAGAUGUGGUGUUCGGGAGGUAUCGCUUUCUCGUCGUCGCCACUCCUUGUCCAAGUUCGUCUUGAACGGGCCGUUUUCCUGUAGAGGGUGCCAGGCCCGUAGCGCGGAGCGUAGACGGCGAGAGG
rnacentral:rRNA from 1 species